UGCGAUGAGUCGAGAGGUCAGGCAGCCGACCCUUGUUUGGCUGCCCCGCGCGAGCGGAAAUGACAUUUCGAGCGGGGCCCGUUAACUUGCCGGAUUGCAAGGGGCCUGGCAAUGACGAAAGUGGACGUUCGUC
ncrna:unclassified sequences Enterococcus sRNA 68 (Lacto-3 RNA)